GCUUAGUCUUAGUCUUAGUCUUAGGCUUAGGCUUAGCCUUAGCCUUAGUUUUAGGCCCGGGUUCAGGCUUAGCCUUAGGCUUAGGCUUUGGCUUAGUCUUAGGCUUAGUCUUAGGAUUAGUCUUAGGCUUAGGCUUAGGCAUAGG
ensembl:ncRNA Y57A10A.41 ncRNA